rnacentral:rRNA from 1 species
AGAGUGAACGCUGGCGGUAGGCCUAACACAUGCAAGUCGAACGGCAGCACAGUGGUAGCAAUACCAUGGGUGGCGAGUGGCGGACGGGUGAGGAAUACAUCGGAAUCUACCUUUUCGUGGGGGAUAACGUAGGGAAACUUACGCUAAUACCGCAUACGCCCUUCGGGGGAAAGCCGGGGAUCGCAAGACCUGGCGCGGAUAGAUGAGCCGAUGUCGGAUUAGCUAGUUGGUGAGGUAAUGGCUCACCAAGGCGACGAUCCGUAGCUGGUCUGAGAGGAUGAUCAGCCACACUGGAACUGAGACACGGUCCAGACUCCUACGGGAGCAGCAGGUGGGAAUAGUUGGAACAAGUGGGCGACAAGCCUGACUCCAGCCACGUACCGGCGGUAGGGUAGAAAGA